rnacentral:lncRNA from 1 species
CUGGUGAGGACUUGUUUCUUCCAGAGGCAGGGCAGUCUGCAAAACACUCGUCCAUUCAGCUCCCCGAGAGGCCCUGGAUGCAAGGUACUGGGAAGACAAAUGGAGCUGUGCUUUCUGUGCGGUAACAAAAUGCCUGAGGCAGUCAGCUCAGAAAGAGAAAGGGUUGGCUGUGGCUCCCGGCUGCUCAUCAAGGAGGCUGUGGCUGCUUUCUUGUUCUCAUGCCCACACUUGGGCUGGGAAUGUCAGGGCUCGCGAUGCCAGCGCAGGGAGGCACACAAUGCUUGCCAAAGCAAAGACGAAUAGAAAGGACCGCAGUCAGACCUGGACAUGCUGAGUGUCCUUAGAGAAGGGGUGAGUCUGGAAAACAAGCCCAGGUGCUGCUGUGCAGGACCUGACUUCUGAGGGGUAGGGGUAGAGCCUGGGUGGUUCUUUGGGUGCACAGAUAGGAUGACCAGCAUCCUCUUUGACAGUUUGGCCUGUAUUUCCAGAGCUUGGGAGGCCGAGGCAGGAGGGUCACUUUGAGUUUGAGGCCAGCCUGAGCUGCAUAGUGAGACCUUGUCUCAAAGAGAAAAAAACAAACCACAAAACCCCAACUCCUUCUGCCUCGGUCGGUCCCAGUGGAUGCCGGUUGUAAACACGAGGAGCCCUUUCUGCAUGUGCCUCCAUGGCACGAGACAGUCCUCGAUCGCCCCAAAUCUACAACAGAACUGACGUGGAGAGAGGAGGCUCGCUGGGUGCCGAGAAGCGCAGGAGACAGUGUUAGAUCAGCUGCUGCUCUCCUGAGGGCCCUUUCGGUGAGUUCCCUCUAUCAGAGGCAAGGGAAGCGUUGCUUUAUUAACCCGCCCCAGCGUCCGGCCAGGGAGCACCGCGGGGGACACAGACAAGCCUGGGAACAGGAGUUUCACUCCAUGCUGCCUUCCAAAGAGCCCUGUUGAUACCACCAAGGCCCAAUGGAGAAUCAGGGUCACCCGAUCCCUGCUACUUCCGGUUCAAAAGCAUCUGUCAGGGUGAUGGCACCGGAAAGUACAGCAGCACCGCAGGAGAAACAGGGCAGAGAAAGACAUGCACUGUGGAUGUCGCGACCUGUACCCCAGCCCUGCUCUCCUGCGAUGGUCCCAUGGGCGGAUGGCGGGACGGCCGGGGGAAGUACACACUGGCCAGUGAAAUCUGAAUUUCAGUGUCUCUGGCGUCAAAGGGCCGAUGCCGGCUUUGCAUUGAGCAACAGUGCAAGAAACACCCAAGCCAGAAACAGGAAGCCGAGUGAGAUGGGCCAGAUCAAGCUGUGUCGGCGCUAACUACGGAGUCAUGGCGGAGGGUGACUGGGGGACCCCGGCCCCACGGUGUCCCCAGCAUUUCGACAAAUCCUUCGGGGCCUUCGGGACACGGCCACAGGGAGAGGCUGCGGGGCGGGACACCAUCUUCCGGUUCCCAUUUCCUCAUCUGUGAAAAGGGCUGAGGAACCUUCACCAAGGGGCGGUGCUGGGGACUAACGGGAAGACCAGCCCAGCACAGCGGCACACACCUGCCAUUCCUGCACUGUGGGAGGCUGAGGCAGGCUGAUUGCAUUUUGAGACCAGACCGGGCAACUCCGCAGUGGAGUGAGACCCUGAAUCACUGUGAAAAAUGAAAAGGGUGGGGACGCGGCUCAGUGAAGGCCUGAUUUCAAUCGAAAAAGACCCUGUCAGGGCUGGCUGCAUCCGAGACCCUCCCGUCCUCCUAGCGCGCUGAACGCCGGCUGUGCGCUCAGAGGUUUCCCCGUGGAGCAGACACAAGGACGUCGCCAAACUCUGCUCCGCCUUCCAGUUCAACUGCACCUGGUCUGCGCCCGC